rnacentral:rRNA from 1 species
AGUUGCUGGGUGUAGACCCGAAACCGAGUGAUCUAUCCAUGGCCAGGUUGAAGGUGCCGUAACAGGUACUGGAGGACCGAACCCACGCAUGUUGCAAAAUGCGGGGAUGAGCUGUGGAUAGGGGUGAAAGGCUAAACAAACUCGGAGAUAGCUGGUUCUCCCCGAAAACUAUUUAGGUAGUGCCUCGAGCAAGACACUGAUGGGGGUAAAGCACUGUUAUGGCUAGGGGGUUAUUGCAACUUACCAACCCAUGGCAAACUAAGAAUACCAUCAAGUGGUUCCUCGGGAGACAGACAGCGGGUGCUAACGUCCGUUGUCAAGAGGGAAACAACCCAGACCGCCAGCUAAGGUCCCAAAUGAUAGAUUAAGUGGUAAACGAAGUGGGAAGGCCCAGACAGCCAGGAUGUUGGCUUAGAAGCAGCCAUCAUUUAAAGAAAGCGUAAUAGCUCACUGGUCAAGUCGUCCUGCGCGGAAGAUGUAACGGGGCUCAAAUCUAUAACCGAAGCUGCGGAUGCCAGUUUACUGGCAUGGUAGGGGAGCGUUCUGUAGGCCGAUGAAGGUGCAUUGUAAAGUGUGCUGGAGGUAUCAGAAGUGCGAAUGUUGACAUGAGUAGCGAUAAAGCGGGUGAAAAGCCCGCUCGCCGAAAGCCCAAGGUUUCCUACGCAACGUUCAUCGGCGUAGGGUGAGUCGGCCCCUAAGGCGAGGCAGAAAUGCGUAGUCGAUGGGAAACAGGUUAAUAUUCCUGUACUUGAUUCAAAUGCGAUGUGGGGACGGAGAAGGUUAGGUUAGCAAGCUGUUGGAAUAGCUUGUUUAAGCCGGUAGGUGGAAGACUUAGGCAAAUCCGGGUCUUCUUAACACCGAGAAGUGAUGACGAGUGUCUACGGACAUGAAGUAACCGAUACCACGCUUCCAGGAAAAGCCACUAAGCUUCAGUUUGAAUCGAACCGUACCGCAAACCGACACAGGUGGGCAGGAUGAGAAUUCUAAGGCGCUUGAGAGAACUCAGGAGAAGGAACUCGGCAAAUUGAUACCGUAACUUCGGGAGAAGGUAUGCCCUCUAAGGUUAAGGACUUGCUCCGUAAGCCCUGGAGGGUCGCAGAGAAUAGGUGGCUGCGACUGUUUAUUAAAAACACAGCACUCUGCUAACACGAAAGUGGACGUAUAGGGUGUGACGCCUGCCCGGUGCUGGAAGGUUAAUUGAAGAUGUGCAAGCAUCGGAUCGAAGCCCCAGUAAACGGCGGCCGUAACUAUAACGGUCCUAAGGUAGCGAAAUUCCUUGUCGGGUAAGUUCCGACCCGCACGAAUGGCGUAACGAUGGCCACACUGUCUCCUCCUGAGACUCAGCGAAGUUGAAGUGGUUGUGAAGAUGCAAUCUACCCGCUGCUAGACGGAAAGACCCCGUGAACCUUUACUGUAGCUUUGCAUUGGACUUUGAAGUCACUUGUGUAGGAUAGGUGGGAGGCUUUGAAGCAGAGACGCCAGUCUCUGUGGAGCCGUCCUUGAAAUACCACCCUGGUGUCUUUGAGGUUCUAACCCAGACCCGUAAUCCGGGUCGGGGACCGUGCAUGGUAGGCAGUUUGACUGGGGCGGUCUCCUCCCAAAGAGUAACGGAGGAGUUCGAAGGUUACCUAGGUCCGGUCGGAAAUCGGACUGAUAGUGCAAUGGCAAAAGGUAGCUUAACUGCGAGACCGACAAGUCGAGCAGGUGCGAAAGCAGGACAUAGUGAUCCGGUGGUUCUGUAUGGAAGGGCCAUCGCUCAACGGAUAAAAGGUACUCCGGGGAUAACAGGCUGAUUCCGCCCAAGAGUUCAUAUCGACGGCGGAGUUUGGCACCUCGAUGUCGGCUCAUCACAUCCUGGGGCUGUAGUCGGUCCCAAGGGUAUGGCUGUUCGCCAUUUAAAGUGGUACGUGAGCUGGGUUUAAAACGUCGUGAGACAGUUUGGUCCCUAUCUGCAGUGGGCGUUGGAAGUUUGACGGGGGCUGCUCCUAGUACGAGAGGACCGGAGUGGACGAACCUCUGGUGUACCGGUUGUAACGCCAGUUGCAUAGCCGGGUAGCUAAGUUCGGAAGAGAUAAGCGCUGAAAGCAUCUAAGCGCGAAACUCGCCUGAAGAUGAGACUUCCCUUGUGGUUUAACCACACUAAAGAGUCGUUCGAGACCAGGACGUUGAUAGGUGGGGUGUGGAAGCGCGGUAACGCGUGAAGCUAACCCAUACUAAUUGCUCGUGAGGCUUGACUCU